rnacentral:rRNA from 1 species
CGAGAGGCUUCGGCAAUGGGGGAAACCCUGACCGAGCGACGCCGCGUGGGGGAUGAAGGCCCUUGGGUUGUAAACCCCUUUUGUUCGGGAAGAAAUGCGAUCAGGUGAAUAAUCUGGUCGUUUGACGGUACCGGACGAAUAAGCUCCGGCUAACUCCGUGCCAGCAGCCGCGGUAACACGGGGGGAGCAAGCGUUGUUCGGAAUUACUGGGCGUAAAGGGUGCGUAGGCGGUUAGUUAAGUCUGUUGUGAAAUCCCCGGGCUCAACCUGGGAAUGGCAAUGGAUACUGGCUAGCUAGAGUGUGUCAGAGGAUGGUGGAAUUCCCGGUGUAGCGGUGAAAUGCGUAGAGAUCGGGAGGAACAUCAGUGGCGAAGGCGGCCAUCUGGGACAACACUGACGCUGAAGCACGAAAGCGUGGGGAGCAAAC